CCUUUUUUACCUUCGCUUUACGCCGUUAUCAAUUCCCCUAAAUGGUUCUGUCUGUUGACGGAGUUUUGUGCAGGCGGCGACCUUCAUGUCCUCCGUCAACGUCAACCUCUCAACCAUUCCGCCGUCAGGAUCUAUAAGUAUGGCAAGCACAGAGCAUACUUUUAAACUCAUGAGAAAUUUUCUUCCAUAGAAAUUCUAUUUUCAAGUAAGAAGAGAUGAGAGAGGUUUAGAAAGCCAUAGAAUUACAAAACUCGUCUGGAUUUUAUUUCAAAGCUGGUUCUUAUUUUACAACUGACACUUCUCCAUCCUUAUAUAGAGGAGGAGGAUUGAGAUAAGCAGAUAAGGAGGAAUUUGCUUUUACACCACUCAUUAAAGCAAACAACAUGACUCAGCAUAUUUUGCAAAAGUAAAGAGACACAAUAAUUUUAAGCAGAUAAGAAGGAAUCUGUUUUUACACUAUUGACACGUCUGUAUCUAUGUCAUAAUCUGUGUCAAUAUCAGAGGUAAUAUUUAAUUCUUCUAUCUUCUGUCUUUUCUUUUCACGGGCUUUGUAACAUCUGAGUUCUAGCCUUUCAAUCCUUCUUUUUAGGUCAACUAGUGGUAUCACAUCAUCAUUAUUGCUUCUGGGGAGUAGUGGGGCUUUUGAAACACUUGGUCCUCUUCAUGUAUAUCCUUCCAGAUAUGUGUCUUGAAUUAUCUGGCUGCAAUGCAUGGGAUAAUCUUGAGACCAUUCUUUUGGAUCUGGUAUGUUGGACCAAUACUCAUUCAGGGCUUCUUUCAACUGGUUUUGAUAAGGUGUCGGUGGAUUCCUUUGAACAUCCCAAGGUGCUGAUGACUCUCCCGAAGGCCAUAUUUCUGAAGGAAUUAUCUUAUUGAUCUGACACAAGUAUUUCUGUAGCUUUUUGAGAUCAAAAAGAUUCUCAUAAACCUCUUCAAAAUAUGUUUUAUGGAUCCAAGAGCUAGGAAGGGAGGCUAAUUGUGUUGCUGGUCCAUUUUGCAUGAAGUAUUGAGGUUUAUAAAAGAUGAUUACUAUCCAUUGGACACGGGUAUUUUUGAGAAACUCAAACAUGAGCAUAUCUACCCAAUAUUCUAAAGGAUAGAACCAUUUUAAAAUUUUGGCCAAGUUUUUCAUCUCAGGAGCUUCUUCAUUGCAGACUGCCAUUGUUAAGAAGUGUUGGAGAUCAGGCAUAAAGAACUCAAUCCCUAUAUGAAAGAGAUGGGUUAAAUACCAGAACAUCCAUUUCAAUUCUUCAGGAAACUCACCAAACUGGAACUUGAUUGGGUUUAUAAAUGGGUAAUCAGGAUGAAGACCUAAGGGCUUAAGAAAUAAUCCUCCAAAAUUCCUAAAGACAUCUAACUGAUAAGAGAGCAUCAUGUUCAUGGCUUCUUUAUAGAAUUUUUUCUCUAGGAUUAGGCUUAAGACUUCUGGAGGGUGAUCUAGAUAGAAAUUUGGUUUACAGGGAAGUGAAAAAGGUUAGGGUGUUUGUUGAAAUUGUUUCUUUUUUCCUUUUGAGGAAGAAGAAGGUUGAAACAUGAAAAUUUUAAUGGGUUUUGGAGUUUGGAUUUGGGUUGCAUUUUCAGGUAAUCUAGUAAGGAUAUCUGUAAGAACAUUAUCCUUGCCUUUAAUGUGUACAACAUCAAAGGAAAAUCUGGAAAACCAUUCUGCAAAUCUGAGAAGUUGAGAAUGUGGAACUUCCUUCUGUUUGAAUUUGAGCAUUUUUGGAAAAGAUGGCAUAUCCAUCUCAACAAGGAAAUGAUAUCCUGUUAAAUGAAACUGGAAUUUGGUGAUUCCAUAUUUCACAGCAAGAAUUUCCUUGAAGGUAGAGUGGUAAUGUUUGUAUUCCAAACAAACAUUACCAGUGGACUGAAAUGCCUUUUGGACUCAAAACGGCCUCUUCAAAAUUUCAAAAGGCCAUGAUCAGAAUCUUCCAACCUAUCACGGAUCAAGCCUUGAUCUACAUUGAUGAUAUCCUUCUUUACAGCCCUGAUGAGCAAGAUCAUGUUAUUCUCCUCAACAAAUUCAAGUAGAUAAUUCUCAAUUUUGGAAUAAUGCUUUCUGAAAAGAAGAUGCAGAUCAACAAGCAGGAAAUUGAAUUUCUUGGAAUGAUCAUUAAAGAUGGAAGAUAUCAGCCAAGUUCAAACAUUGCAGAAGAGCUGAAAAAGUUUUCUGACAAAAACCUCACUCAGAAACAAGUUCAACAAUUUCUCGAGAUAGUUAAUUAUCUUAGGGAUUUUGUUCCCAAAAUAGCCAAAUUAACAAAUCCUUUGAGAAAGAUGCUAAAAAAAGAUCCACCUCCUUGGAAGUCCAAACAAACCAAAGCUGUCCAACAGAUUAAGGAGAAAAUAACAUGUUUGCCACCACUACAGAUCCCGUUCAGUGACAAAAGAAUUUUGCAGACUGAUACAAGUGAUAAAUAUUGGGGAGCAAUACUCUUUGAAGAAAAAAAUGGGAAAAGGCGAUUUUGUGGAUAUAAGAGUGGGAGAUUCACAGAUGCAGAAAUUCAUUACCACUCUACCUUCAAGGAAAUUCUUGCUGUGAAAUAUGGAAUCACUAAAUUCCAGUUUCAUUUAACAGGAUAUCAUUUCCUUGGUGAGAUGGAUAUGUCAUCUUUUCCAAAAAAUUUUAAAUUCAAACAGAAGGAGUUCCACAUUCUCAACUUCUCAAAUGGGCAGAAUGGUUUUCCAGAUUUUCCUUUGAUGUUGUACACAUUAAAGGCAAGGAUAAUGUUCUUGCAGAUAUCCUUACUAGAUUACCUGAAAAUGCAACCCAAAUCCAAACUCCAAAACCCAUUGAAGUUUUCAUGUUUCAACCUUCUUCCUCAAAAGGAAAAAAGAAACAAUUUCAACAAACACCUCACCUUUUUCCCUUCCCUGUAAACCAAAAUCCCAUCUAGAUCACCCUCCAGAAGUCUUAAGCCUAAUCCUAGAGAAAAAAAUUCCAUAAAGAAGCCAUGAACAUGAUGCUCUCUUAUCAGUUAGAUGUCUUUAGGAAUUUUGGAGGAUUAUGUCUUAAGCCCUUAGGUCUUCAUCCUGUUUACCCAUUUAUAAACCCAAUCAAGUUCCAGUUUGGUGAGUUUCCUGAAGAAUUGAAAUGGAUGUUCUGGUAUUUAACCCAUCUCUUUCAUAUAGGGAUUGAGUUUUUUAUGCCUGAUCUUCAACACUUCCUAACAAUGGCAGUCCGCAAUGAAGAAACUCCUGAGAUGAAAAACUUGGCCACAUUUUUAAAAUGGUUCUAUCCUUUAGAAUAUUAGGUAGAUAUGCUCAUGUUUGAAUUUCUCAAAAAUACCCGUGUCCAAUAGAUAGUAAUCAUCUUUUAUAAACCUCAAUACUUCAUACAAAAUGGACCAGCAACACAAUUAGCCUCCCUUCCUAGCUCCUGGAUCCAUAAAACAUAUUUUGAAGAGGUUUAUGAGAAUCUUUUUGGUCUCAAAAAGCUACAGAAAUACUUGUGUCAGAUCAAUAAGAUAAUUCCUUCAGAAAUAUAGCCUUCGAGAGAGUCAUCAGCACCUUGGGAUGUUCAAAGGAAUCCACCGACACCUUAUCAAAACCAGUUGAAAGAAGCCCUGAAUGAAUAUUGGUCCAACAUACCAGAUCCAAAAGAAUGGUCUCAAGAUUAUCCCAUGCAUUGCAGCCAGAUAAUUCAAGACACACAUAUCUGGAAGGAUAUACAUGAAGAGGGACCAAGUGUUUCAAAAGCCCCACUACUCCCUAGAAGCAACAAUGAUGAUGUGAUACCACCAGAUGACCUGGAAAGAAGGAUUGAAAGGCUAGAACUCAGAUGUUACAAAGCCCGUGAAAAGAAAAGACAGAAGAUAGAAGAAUUAAAUAUUACAUCUAAUAUUGACACAGAUAUAGACGUGUCAAUAGUGUAAAAGCAGAUUCCUUCUUAUCUGCUUAAAAUUAUUGUGUCUCUUUACUUUUGUAAAAUAUGCUGAGUCAUGUUGUUUGCUUUAAUGAGUGGUGUAAAAGUAGAUUCCUCCUUAUCUGCUUAUCUCAAUCCUCCUCCUCUAUAUAAGGAUGGAGAAGUGUCAGUUGUAAAAUAAGAACCAGCUUUGAAAUAAAAUCCAGACUAGUUUUGUAAAUCUAUGGCUUUCUAAACCUCUCUCAUCUCUUCUUACUUGAAAAUAAAAUUUCUAUGGAAGAAAAUCUCUCAUGAGUUUAAAAGUAUGCUCUGUGCUUGCCAUACUUAUGGAUCUUGCACAUCAGAAAUUAAACAUGAUAAAAGAUACUAUUAAGUUCAGUUGAGUUUGAAGAAGGAGUUCAAUGAUUAAAGAUGAUUAACAGCUAAAAGGCAGUGCCUUGUUGAUGGCCAAAAAAGAGAUGAAAGGCCUCUGUUUUGUCAUAGCAUACCUGCUGUUAUAAAUCGUUAAUUGCUGAUCUCUUACGUCUUACUCACCUGCCCUCCAUUGGUAUCAGAGCUAGUAACUCUAAAUUUUCUUUCAUUAGAAAGACUACGAUCUAGUAAGAAGAGAGUUUAGAAUCAUGGAAUCCUCUAGAUUAUCUACCACAAAAGUACCUCUCUCAUUACCUGAAUCCCCAUUUUGCUCUCACUCUGCUAGAAAGAUUUCUUCUCUUUAUGAAGAAUAUUUUACUGAAGAAGAGAAAGUACAAGCUACUAAUCUUCCUCUUGUAAAUCCAUAUUCUACCUAUCAAAAACCUUCAUUCUCUCCCAUAAAAAGUAUUAACUCCAGAUUUUCUUUCAUUAGAAAUACUACAAUCUAGUAAGAAGAGAGUUUAGAAUCAUGGAAUCCUCUAGAUUAUCCACCACAAAAGCACCUCUCUCAUUACCUGAAUCCACGUUUCGCUCUCACUCUGCUAGAAAGAUUUCUCUUUAUGAAGUAGAAUAUUUUACUGAAGAAGAGAAAGUACAAGCUACUAAUCUUCCUCUUGUAAAUCCAUAUUCUACCUAUCAAAAACCUUCAUUCUCUCCCAUAAAAAGUAUUAAGUCUCUUAUUACUACCAGAAGAAAAGCCGUCAAAGAAUGUCCAGUCCUCUAAAUUUGAUAAACAUCUUAUCUAUGGAGAACAAGAAGAACAGUUUGUUACGUUAGAAAUCCCGUCUCAUUUUCCUCAAGAAUGGUGUCAACAUGGAUAUUCUCAUAUCCAUUUUGGAGCAGUUCAUUUGGCGCUCAAUUAUCAUGGAACAUCAGGGAAACCUGUUGUUUCCAGGAUAGCCCUUUUAGAUUCUAGAUACAAGCGUUAUCAAGAUGCUUGUAUUGGAACUGUUGAAGCAACACUAAGCUCGGGUAUGGCAAUGGUAACUUUAUUUCUAAAUUUCACCAUGUCCUUGCAAGACCCCAAUCUGAUGGAUGCCCUAAAGGUACAAAUCUAGAUCGUUGGCACUAAAAUGGUUGAAUCUGCAGUUACAGCAACUCUACACUAUCAAAUAGUGUAUAGAGUUCAAGAUCAUGCUUUCAAACUAGCCAAUCAAGGAUCUGAUGAUUCUCUUUUAAUCUCUGUCAAUACAAGAUAAGAACCUUAUUGUAUUUAUGUGCCCAAACAGAUACUCAAACAAGAACUUUUGAAGCUUCUUCUAGAAAAAUGGGUAACAAAUUAUGAGCAGAUCUAUCAACACAACCAGCCGAUCAAAUUUACCAAAAGCCAGAUUAUCACCAAGGCUGAUGGAACCAGUGAGAUCAGAUUUGAUCACAGUCACUUGAAACAACUCCCAACUCCUCCUGUUUUUACAACACAGAUGAUGUUACAACCGGUAAUUCCUGAAGAAACAGUACCAGGACCAGAAGCAACAUUAAUUCAGAGCUUCCAGACUGAUGGAAUGCCCUUAUAUUACUUCAAAGAUCCCUCAAGACAUUGUCCUUGGGAUAUCAAUUGUUCCUGUAAAGGGUGCAGAGAUGCUGUCUUUGAAGAACUUGAUGAAGAUAUUAAACGCACCAGAAAAAAGAAGUCUGGUAGAAAAUUAACACAAUCAAGCUUUUAUGAAAAAUGGAUGAAUGGAGAUCUAGAUAUUGGUCUAUUAGGGGAAGAUAAUGGCAAAUCUGUUUUAUCUUGUGGACUAUUCUGUAAAAAGACCACAAUCCCCUAAAGUCCAAAACCUAUCUCAAACAUCUCUACCAUCUCCUCCAAAAGCAGACCCCGAUAAAAAAUGGUUAGCUAAGCCUCUAAAGCAGCCAUGUUACAAACGAAUCAAUAAGUGGGUCCAGAAAAACAGUCAGUUUAUGACAUGCAGCCAAGAACAAGAAAGGAGCAAAGAUGAUCAGACAAAUCCAACAAAGAUCAGGAAUCAAGAUAACUGAUGAAGAUGAUAUAGAGUCCUUAUUUUCUAUUGAUGAUGAGCCAAAUGAUCAGUCAAUAUGUGCUAUUCAAAGUUUUGCAUUCAGCGAUUCAGAAGACUGUAAUUUCUCUUUAUCAGAUUCAUCAUUGAUGAUACAACCAUCAAGGAAUUGUUACUCCCUCUCCGUCAUCCCUCAAGUUGUUGCCGCCACAGAGAUUACAGCUCCUCACAUUCCAAUUUCCAUCUAUAUGAACAAAUACAGUAAACCUAUUACUGUAAUUGCCUUCAUUAAUACUGGAGCUGCAGAAUCCAUCAUGAAUCCAGAAAUUCUGCCAGAAGAAUACUGGGAGCCCCAUACCAGAUAUUUUAGCUCAGCAUUAAGAAAGGUUUUCACAACAAACCUGAGAAGCAAGCCUGUCAAGAUCCAGUUCUUUCCCACUUGUUCCAUUACCACUACAAUACUGGGAUCGAAGCUUCCUGGAAAAGAUCUUAUUGUUGGUUUUGAUUUAUAUCUUAAAGCCAAACAAUUAAGAAUUCUCCCAGAUGUUAUAAGGUACAAGCAAAUGUUCAAGCCUUAUGUAUCAAUUCCCAGGUUAUUCUCAAUUGAUGCUGACAAAAUCCAAGAAGCUGUUGAAGAACUGAGACAAAAGGCAUGUGCAGACUUUUAUUCAGAUUUUCUAAAAAAUGCAACCAUCCUUUAUGGAAAAAUUUAGAAUUCUUCAUCAAACUUCCUUUCAAGAAAAAUGAAGAUAUCAAUCCUACUAAUGCUAGUCAUGUUGGGAUGAAUCCAGAUCAUCUCAAAUUAGCUGAACAAUAAUUUCAACAAUUACAGACAGAAGGAUUGAUAGAAGCCUCAGAUUCACAAUGGGCAUGUGAAGCAUUCUAUGUCAACAAGAGAUCUGAGUAAGUUCGUGGAAAGCUAAGAUUGGUAAUUAAUUACCAACCUCUCAAUCAUUUUCUCCAAGAUGAUAAAUUCCCUUUACCCAAUAGAAAUUGCCUAUUUUCAAGUCUUGCGAAAGCUCAGAUUUUUUCAAAAUUUGACUUAAAAGCAGGAUUUUGGCAAUUGGGUAUAGAUCCUGAAGACAGGCCCAAAACUGGUUUUUGUAUUCCAAACAAACAUUACCAGUGGACUGUAAUGCCUUUUGGACUCAAAACGGCCCUUCAAAAUUUCAAAAGGCCAUGGUCAGAAUCUUCUAACCUAUCAUGGAUCAAGCCUUGAUCUACAUUGAUGAUAUCCUUGUUUUUUGGCUCUGGUGGAGGAAAAAUGAUUGGCUGUGUUCCGCCUUGUCGAGGACUAUCUGUCUGUCUUAUGGAUGGGAAAAGUUCAAUCCCAUUUUUCUCCGGUUGUCGUGGUGGCAGCUUCCCAUUUUCUUUCAGAUACUUUAUCUGCUCUUUAAGGUUCUGGAUUUCUUUUUCUCUUUGUGCAAGAUGAGAGAAUAAAUCCUUGCCUGGGGCUGCUGGCUCAUAAGCAACUUCUUUAAGCCUUUUUUGAAAAAGCUUUAUAAGAUUCUUGCUCAUUUCUGAAUUUUCAUCUGUCGUUUUCUCGAUCUUUGAGACUUUAUUAUCAAUCUGACAGACUUUAUGAUCAAUCUUUUUGAUUGCAGCAUUCUGGGCUACAGCAUUUUUUGACUGCCAGUUCAGGGUGGCUUCUACUGCUGCUAUCUUGAUUUGUUUUCCUUCUGCAUCUGUCUGAAGUUUUGAAGAGAUUUUUGGCAUAUGAAGAUAUUCAUUUUUUUGUGAAUUCUUCAAGUGGAGGAAAUUCUUGAUCAUAAGAAGAAGUUGCUGUGUACAUGUGAACUUCUGGAGAUGCCUGAACGGGGACUGGAACUUUCGUUUCUUGUUCUUGGCUGCAUGUCAUAAACUGACUAUUUUUCUGGACCCACUUAUUGAUUCGUUUGUAACAUGGCUGCUUUAGAGGCUUAGCUAACCAUUUUUGAUCGGGGUCUGCUUUUGGAGGAGAUGGUGGAAAUGUUUGAGAUAGGUUUUGGACUUUAAGGGAUUGUGGUCUUUUUACAGAAUAGUCCACAAGAUAAACAAAUUUGUCAUUAUCUUCCCCUAAUGGACGGAUCACUUUUUUAAGCAUUGCAUAUUCUACAACUAAUGAUGUUUCUGGUGAAAGCAUUGACGGAUCUACUCAGGCACUGGAUCAAGUGGUUUCUACUGAUAUGAAACAGGUCAUGCUUGUUAAGGCAUUAUUAAAUGCUCAUGACACACUGC